ACUGCUGCUCGGCCUUUUGGCAAAGAUCAAGAGUAGUAUCUGUUCUUAUCAGUUUAAUAGCUGAUACACCCUCUAUGCAAGGAUAAUUUAUUAACUGGAUUUGUAGAGCAGUGAAGAUGGAAUGGGAGCUUCCUCUGUCCACUCCACGCAACGACCCGAUAUUGCAGUACUUUGGGGAAUGGCGCAUACACA